rnacentral:rRNA from 1 species
AUUGAACGCUGGCGGCAGGCCUAACACAUGCAAGUCGAGCGAGUGGCGGACGGGUGAGUAAUGUAUGGGAAACUGCCUGAUGGAGGGGGAUAACUACUGGAAACGGUAGCUAAUACCGCAUACCAUCAGAUGUGCCCAGCUGGGAUUAGCUAGUUGGUGGGGUAAAGGCUGACCAAGGCGACGAUCCCUAGCUGGUCUGAGAGGAUGAUCAGCCACACGGGAACGGAGACACGGGCCAGACUCCUACGGGAGGAAGCAGUGGGGAAUAUUGCACAAUGGGCGCAAGCCUGAUGCAGCCAUGCCGCGUGUAUGAAGAAGGCCUUCGGGUUGUAAAGUACUUUCAGUCGGGAGGCGUUACCCGCAGAAGAAGCACCGGCUAACUCCGUGCCAGCAGCCGCGGUAAUUC